AAUAAUAAUAAUAAUAGUAAUAAGGUGCUAGAUUGGAUUUGCGAUGAUAGGUGCCCAAAAAUAAAUUUCAAAUUCUAAUUUUAAACCUUAUCUAUGGGCUGAAGAUCCUUCAGAACCAACAUAAAAUUUUACCGCAUUUGUCCCGGUGAAUAAGAUAUUAUUCUUAAUCUCAUUAAAUUUAAACCACCAAACAGUGCAGGGCCAAAAAAAAAAUUGCUUUGUUCAACAAGGAAUUCGCAAUUUUGUCAAAAGUUUAAGUGGCAUGGUAA
rnacentral:misc_RNA from 1 species